AAUGCCUCUCCUUAAUCCUGAUACGGCAUGACGAGAUCUGGUUUGUCUCCAAAUAUGGUUUGUCCCAAAUGGCACCUUAUGGGCCCUGGUCAAAAGUAGUGGACUAUUUAGGUAAUAGGAUGUCAUUUGGGAAGCAGACACUGCUUCUGAUACCUUACAUCCUAACCCAUGGUAGCCAUGUUGUCUCUUUCCUAGAGAUAAAUGAGUGUAGAUAUAGCUAGCCAGAUCCAAGACAGGUGUUGCCGAGACGUAAUGCUCCUGUACAACUCCUCAGGRACAAACGGAGUACAUGAUUGUCAUGCUCGGGAACAUAAGCAAUGGAAGCCUUUCAGUCCGUUGACAUGCCUGCUUCAGGUGUGAGAAGUGGAGACCGGGUAGGAAAGAGGACGGUUGGUUCAGAGGGUCUGGGUAUAUCUGGACAUACACACACGUCCAGAGCAAGAGGACCAAGAGCCCGGAUCCAGCACCAGCACCAGAUGUGGGGYGUGAGAAGCGCAGGAUGCCCAACUGGGCUCUGACCUCCUCUGACUUCUUCGGCUGGGUGGAGGCUCUGCGUGAGCAUGCUGGUUAUGAGAAGAUUGAAGACCUGUCCAGAACCUUCUGGGCUCACUUCCCCUCCGCCAGCCGCCUGGGCAAUGAGCUGUCCGACCCUGACGAGGAGUGAGGAAC